rnacentral:pre_miRNA from 1 species
UAAGUACUCCCUCCGUCCCAAAAUUUUUGUCUUAGAUUUGUCUAAAUACGGAUGUAUCAAAUCACAUUUUAGUAUUAGAUACAUCCGUAUGUAGACAAAUUUAAGACAAGAAUUUUGGGACAGAGGGAGUAGCAG